UAAAAAGAUGGUCGUCCAAGUCGUCGCCUCGCCGUUGCUUGUCCGAGCGCCCAAAGGCUUCCUCAAAGAAACGAGGCCUUUGACUUUCUUACAUGAUAGUGGGGAUCACGUUCUGCACCCUGUGCCAUUUCCUUAAUCUCGCAAAGAUGCAAUCUUUUCGGGUUUCCCAUCCUGAAUCCUGACCAAGGAACGUUUCAGCCCUUAUCGCCAAGCAACACAGUUAACUGGAGCUUCCUUACCUGUUCACAUACGGGGAAGAAAAGAAGCCUUCGCAAAUGACGAUGCUGCUUGAACAAAUGAAUAUUUCUCACACAAAUUCGUAGACUGCUUCACAAAUGCUGCAUAUAUUGAUCGUUGUUGUCGAACGCAUUUCAAGCUUCCGUCAGUUUUUCUUUAACCGGCAGCUCUCUGGACGUAUCUGAAAAUUCCAUGUAUAUCAGUUUUGUUGUGAACGGAGAAGUGAAUGCCUGUAUAAUAAUAGUAGGUCCAAGGGUUCUGCUUCUGCAUCAUUGGGCUUGGUACAUUGGAUUAUACUGAACACCACCUCCAUGGCUCUUGGAAGAUACAGCUAUGGACUCUUUUGUUAGCAACGGAACUGGGAGGAAGAAGAUAGCAGAGAAUUCAGAUCGGAAAGCAAGAAAUUGGACUGGCAGAGGAAUGCUUGCAUUAGGAAGGAAAUUGACUUGUGUUCAUACACGGAUAAUCCUCUCUCUGCUCAUCCCUCUCCUCAAAUAUCAGAGCUUUGACAACUCCACUGAAUUAGUGUAGGGAUGUGAAACAUGGCGUGCAUGGACUGAUGGACGGGCUGGAGGAAUGGGUGCUAGCGUGGCUCAGAGAGAAACCAGAGUGAAGACAACACAGGCACACGGCCAUGUCCAGACCCUGAAAGCAAUGCAGGUUUCAUGUCCCCUGGUGAUAGAAAAUUAUUGGAAAACCAUGGAUUGCUCACUCUGCUUGGGUUUGAUGAGUGUAGGUGUUGCAUUUGUUUGACUAGUGCUAGUGCAGGGAAGAUCGGAGAUGCUCGAGGUCACCUCUUGGAGAUCAAAGAAGCUCUGCCUCACGCCGACGAGGUGAUGAUGGCUUCGCUGGGAGGUUGCACAGGGGCGUGGGGGAGCUGCACAUCACCGGGGCCGCACACCUUGCUCGCGUGCGCCUUGCGCAACGCCGCAGCGGGACGAGCGUGCUGGAGGACAGCCGCUUCGAUGCUUCCAGUGGGAGCAGCAGCACCUCCACGAGCGGCGGGAACUGGUGCUCAGUGGAGGCGGGAACUGGUGCUCGAGGUCAAGGAGCAGAGGGUGGUGGAGGAGCGUCAGCUCCCACGGCGGUGACGGGGCGCCGUCCUUGGCAGCGUUGAGGAGCCUUCCCACGCCGUGCUCGUCGAGGUCUCGGCCGUCUCGCGCCGUCGUCAAAUACAGCUCCGCCGCGGCCCGCGUGCAAGGCUGCAGAGGCGCGGCGCGUGAAUUCGGCGAGACGAGAGCGGGAUGCUUAGCAGCGGGGCCAGCGGGGUUCGCCGCCGGCGGCGCGGCCUCGCCGGAAGAGAUGUCGCCGGCCCGAAACAUUUGUAAAACGCUCCCUAGAUUGGAUCGCGACUAAUAAUCGCGAUCCAAAUAUUUGCAUAUACACCCCUAGUUUGGAUCGCGAUUAAUAACCGCGAUCCGAAUAUUUUCAAAUAGCCCCCCAUUUUGGAUAGGAAUUCAGCGAAGUGCCCCCUCUGGCUGGCUCUGGUCUCUCCUCGUCGGCUCAUUCUCCGGCAGUUACGCCGCCGGCCGCCGCCUUCCGUCCCCGCCGGAAGCGCAGAGACCGACCCCACGAUCCGCUCCAGCUCUCCACUCCUCUGCCGCCCCCAAGCGCUCGAAUCGCCGGAAUCUCCCAAGACGCCGGGUGGAGUGGAAGCGGAACGCAACAGCACCUCUCACCGAUGCAGCAGAUUGCGCCGGCUACCAACCCAGCAGACGCAGCGGCCGUCGACAUGGAUAGAGGCAACAAAUGCUCGAGGAAAUGCCUCUAAGGUGAUCGAUUGGUGCCAUUCGCAAUUAACAGGCAGGUGAUUUCCCCUAAUCCCCACCCUUCUCUUGCAUACAAAUUCGUGAGAUUUGUUGGUAUUAUUUCUAAUAUCUUUGAUGCCUGUGAGCUUGCAGUUUGAAACAUUUGUUUCAUUUGUUCAGACAACUGGCUGCUUUUGUUAGGAAAGAUCAUCUUUUUAUUCAGUUUCAUGCGAGCAACUGGACUGCUUCUGCUUUCUGACAUCAGGUGGAUCUGACAUCAGGGGUAAUGUCAGGUGCUCAUGAGGGACAUGUCUAAAUCAUGACUCAAAAACACAAUUCUUUUUACUUGAUUGCUCUCACUCUUGCUGCAGAUCAAAGCAAAUGUUAGUGCUGAUCUAGAAGGAGGAUAUGAUAGUUCAAAAGAUGAAGUUUCAUCUAUUUCCUCAUACAACCCUUCCAAAGCAAAUCCUGAAUUCUCCCUCAGGAACUCAUUGUCGAUGCAAUCUCUGUCAUCACGCCUCUCCACAAGUGAGCUGUUUUAUAAUCAAUUAGAACGACCCAAUUUCUCAUCAUACAGCCCAAUUCCUCGAUUGUCAGUGUCAGAGAUUUCAGAUGACCAUGUCGGAGCCUCAGGCUCAAGGGAGGAAGGGGAGAAGGAGAGCUAUUCAGAAACUACUCAGCCAAUUGGAGACAGGAGCUUGUACAGAUGGUUUGGCUUUAACCAAAACCAUGGUUACUUCAUGAACAAAGAACUCCCUCCAAGCUCCCAGCGAGAGAAUUCCAUUAUAAAAAAUAAUACUGUUCCUGUCGCACCAGAUGCUCCAGCAGCCAAUCAAAACAAGUUCCCUGAAGAUGAAGAAGUUCCUCAGUUGUUUGAGGAUGUGCAAUGUGGUGCCUAUUUGUGCAAAAGCACUCCAGAAACAGAGGACAAACAGAGCAAGGAGACUGAUCAUAAGCAUCAAGAUGGCUGCAUUUGUUCAUGGAUUUCAGUACUUGGUGCAACAUCAAUACCCACAAGAUUCUGAUCAUGAGUGCACCACAGGUAUACCUGCUACACAAGCUCAUCGGUCCAGCGCUGUGUCAGGGAUGUGCCUGGUUUGCUAACAGGUGUUUUUUUUAUGUCACCAUGUUUUCAAUCAAUAAGUCUCGUAGUCUCAAAGGAAGAAAUAGUUGUAACUGACAGAUGGACUCAUUUGGGGUUCCUAUAUGCUAUUACAUUGUUAUAUAAUAGUACAAAGAUAUUUGGCCAUUAAUUCCUUUUAUUUUGUGGAAAACAAAUAAUAUUAUACAGUGAUUAUCACGCUCA